UCCCAGAGUGCCAUCGGGGACGACCCCCCUCCCCCAGGUUUGGGGCCCCGCCCAGGUAGCGCCCCGAAAAUCUGCGCAUGCGUGGGCUGGAUCGGACCAGAAGCUGGCCCGAGAAGUUACGCAUGCGCAAAGGUGGCAUGCCAAAGGUGGGGUGAGACUUGGCCUGGGAGUGGAUUCCCUUCCCCCACCAUCGGCCUGUGGGGCUUAAACCAAGGCUGCGAGACCUUCGGGGUUCACUCGGUGCUUUGCUUUUGAGUUGUAGGGCCGUCUUCAUCGCCACCCCUAUCCCGAGCCCCUGAAAUAGACCUAGACUAACCUCCCCACCUUGGGUGUGCACUUGGGGUGAGAACAAGGCGCGGAGGGCAGAAGAAAGGGCGUCCAGACCCUGCCUCAGUUUACCUGCAGAAUUGGGGCCCUUCACCCUUUCCCCAGGUGGCAAGAUUCCCAGCCGUAUCCACUGGAGCGGCGUGACGAGCGCACCUGGGGGCAGGGCCGGACGCUGCCGGAAGAGCCGCGCUGGUCAAAAGGGGCGGGACCCGCAAGCGGCGCGCCCUGAGUCUCCUCUACCUGAGCUCUCUGGGGGUUAGCGGAGGGCCUUCCAGGGCGGUUUGAUAUUUGCUCAGUUCCAAAACCGCUUUUUUUUAGCUCCCACGAGGUACCACCCACUAAAUCUUCAGCCAGAGCUGCAAAUGAAAAAAAAAAAUCUCCUUUCAGCCUCCAAGCUCACCUGGUCAGAAUCCUUGGAUGAGCCUGUGGGACCCUUCCUCCUAGCCUUGUGGUUUGGAACCAGUGGCUUUGGGACUGUAAGAGGAUGGACAAAGAUUCUCAGGGGCUGCUAGAUUCAUCCCUGAUGGCAUCAGGCACUGCCAGCCGCUCAGAGGAUGAGGAGUCGCUGGCAGGGCAGAAGCGGGCCUCCUCACAGGCCUUGGGCACCAUCCCUAAACGGAGAAGCUCCUCCAGGUUCAUCAAGAGGAAGAAGUUUGAUGACGAGCUGGUGGAGAGCAGCCUGGCUAAGUCCUCUACCCGGGCGAAGGGGGCCAGUGGGGUGGAACCAGGGCGCUGUUCGGGGAGUGAGCCUUCCUCCAGUGAGAAGAAGAAGGUGUCCAAGGCCCCCAGCACUCCAGUGCCACCCAGCCCCGCUCCAGCCCCUGGACUCACCAAGCGUGUGAAGAAGAGCAAACAGCCCCUGCAGGUGACCAAGGAUCUGGGCCGCUGGAAGCCUGCAGACGACCUCCUGCUCAUCAAUGCUGUGUUGCAGACCAACGACCUGACAUCUGUCCACCUGGGCGUGAAGUUCAGCUGCCGCUUCACCCUGCGGGAAGUCCAGGAGCGUUGGUACGCCCUGCUCUACGAUCCUGUCAUCUCCAAGCUGGCCUGCCAGGCUAUGAGACAGCUGCACCCAGAGGCCAUUGCCGCCAUCCAGAGCAAGGCGCUGUUUAGCAAGGCUGAGGAGCAGCUGCUGAGCAAAGUGGGAUCGACCAGCCAGCCCACCUUGGAGACCUUCCAGGACCUGCUGCACAGACACCCCGAUGCCUUCUACCUGGCCCGUACUGCCAAGGCUCUGCAGGCCCACUGGCAGCUCAUGAAGCAGUAUUAUCUGCUGGAGGACCAGACAGUGCAGCCGCUGCCCAAGGGGGACCAAGUGCUGAACUUCUCCGAUGCAGAGGACUUGAUUGAUGACAGUAAGCUCAAGGACAUGCGAGAUGAAGUCUUAGAACAUGGUGAGUGUGCCCCGGUGGGGACAGUGAGGGGGUGGAAGCACCUGCUGGAACAGAGAGCAACAGGACAAGGUGCUGGUGACGUCAGGGUGUCCUUCCCACCCCACCUCACCGCAGAGCUGACAGUGGCCGACCGGCGCCAGAAACGAGAGAUUCGGCAGCUGGAGCAGGAGCUGCAUAAGUGGCAGGUGCUAGUAGACAGCAUCACAGGUGAGGAGGCGGGGCCGGGAGGGUUGGGCUUCAGCUCCCCUCGCCGCGCUGAGCCCCCCGCGCCUGUUUCCCAGCCCCCUCACUCCCUUCCCUCAGUGGAUCUCACCCUGGCUCCCUGCGUGGAAGGCGCUGAGGAGUGGGCUGUUCUCCAACACGAGCUGCCCUCCCCUAGGCAUGAGCUCUCCGGACUUCGACAACCAGACCCUGGCGGUGCUGCGGGGCCGCAUGGUGCGGUACCUGAUGCGCUCGCGAGAGGUGAGGCCAGGCCUGUCCUCCCAUCCCCACCCCCCCCCUUCCCAGGCUGCCCGCCCCGUCGGUCUGCCCGUCACUGGCCUUUCUAUGUCUCAUCCUUCCCUGGCCUGUGUGGACUCCCCCCCGCCCAGCCCUCCGGUCCCAGCCCUCACCUGCCCCCUUUCCCCAGAUCACCCUGGGCAGAGCAACCAAGGACAACCAGAUUGACGUGGACCUGUCUCUGGAGGGCCCAGCCUGGAAGAUCUCCCGGAAGCAAGGUGCCAGCAGGGAGCAGUGGGAGGCUGUCCCCUGGCCUCUUGCUGCCCUCCAGCCCCAGGGCGUGGUCUCUGGGAACCCCUGGGAUCGGCUGUGGCUGAGGAGCUGGUGUUUCCAGAUCCCUCACUUGGGAGUCCCAGCGCCUUCUAUCCUGUCCCGAGGAAGCAGAGGGCAUGCGGGGGUCUCAGACCCUCUUCUGGCCUCUCCCCAUCCCAUUACACCCCCUUUCCUCUCUGUUUCCCCAGGGGUCAUCAAGCUGAAAAACAACGGUGACUUCUUCAUUGCCAAUGAGGGCCGGCGGCCCAUCUACAUCGAUGGACGGCCGGUGCUGUGUGGCUCCAAGUGGCGCCUCAGCAACAACUCGGUGGUGGAGAUUGCCAGCCUGCGAUUCGUCUUCCUCAUCAACCAGGACCUCAUUGCCCUUAUUCGGGCCGAGGCUGCCAAGAUCACGCCACAGUGAGGAGGGGUGGCAGGAUCCGCGGGCUCUUUCUGGCCUCAAUUUCCCCGCCAUCCCAGCCCCCUGGAGCUGGGAACUCAGGCUCCUGGAGAAACCAGAGUGGGCAGCAGGAGGCUCAGCUCCUGGCCCCUUGAUCUGAGCCUCUGCGGGGGGGGAUGGGGGGAGCGAGGCUGGCCCUCGGGAAGCCCCCAGAGGCUGGGACCCUCCUGCUUCCUCGGUGCCAGAGCCCUCCCUUCUCUCCAGGCAGACCGCCCUCCCCCGCUCCCUACCUUUGCCCCAUGUCCCCAGCUAAUUAGCUUCAGACGUUUCCUUUAUUAUUUUUCUUUUGUAAAUAGAAAGCACUGAGUUCUAAA